rnacentral:lncRNA from 1 species
UGGUUUAUUGAGUAAUUGUUUGUGAGUGUGAAGUUUGAAAUCAAGUUCAACGGACAUUUUCGAGUGGGUGUUGCUUGAAAAAAAUUGGAUUUGAUUUUUUCUUCCUUCUUGAUUGAUUGUUCAUGAGAGAUGGAGGCAUAAAGAGGUUUUGAAAGAAGCGGUGGAAGGAGGAAGAAGAGAAUUGAGUUCUCUCCCUCUUUGACUGUAUUUUAUUCCUUUUUUUAAUUUAUGUUUUCUUUUAAUAAUAACCAUCGUGUAAAUGCC